rnacentral:rRNA from 1 species
AGAGUUUGAACCUGGCUCAGAACGAACGCUGGCGGCGUGCCUAACACAUGCAAGUCGAGCGUGAAAGUCCCUUCGGGGGCGAGUAAAGCGGCAGACGGGUGAGUAAUACAUAGGUAAUCUACCUUCGAGCUUGGGAUAACCCCGCGAAAGUGGGGCUAAUACCGGAUAAGACCACACGGCGUAAGUCGCGUGGUAAAAGGUGGCUUAUUUUUUAAAUGAGCUAUCACUUGAGGAUAAGCCUGUGGCCUAUCAGCUUGUUGGUGAGGUAAGAGCUUACCAAGGCUAUGACGGGUAGCUGGUCUGAGAGGACGACCAGCCACACUGGGACUGAGACACGGCCCAGACUCCUACGGGAGGCAGCAGUGGGGAAUAUUGGGCAAUGGGCGCAAGCCUGACCCAGCGACGCCGCGUGGGUGAUGAAGGCCUUCGGGUUGUAAAGCCCUGUCAUGUGGAAAGAACAGUCCCGUGGUGAAUAUCCACGGGAUUUGACGGUACCACAGGAGGAAGCACCGGCUAACUCCGUGCCAGCAGCCGCGGUAAUACGGAGGGUGCAAGCGUUGUUCGGAA